GAAAAUUGUGUAUGAGUGUGUAUUUGAAUUUUGCUCAAAAUAAUAAUAAUAAUAAUAGUGUGUAUGUGUUUGGGAUUUUCAAUUUAUGUGUUUGAGCCACCUAGUGGUGUGAUGAGUGACUGCACGCAACGGGUCCUUCAGGCGCUCUCUUGGCUUCCCCCAUCAGAGUUCUGAGGAGCGCUGGUGGAGCUGUGGACCAGUUGUGUGGAGUCACAUUAUUUCUGUUCAUAACACAUUAGGUGACAAACAACAAGAGGGUUACACUGGUGCCGUGACUCCGUGAUCCCUGAUCGGCUUGAUGCUGUUCGCCGGGUUGCUGCGUCGUCCACCUACAAGCUGCCUCUUCACCUCAAGACGCGUCAACACACCUGUGUUACAAGGUUAAAGGACUGAGGGGAGAAAAUUUAUUGUCAAUAAGUGACUGAUUUUUA